CUGCCGGUGAUAAGCCGGAGGAAGGUGUGGAUGACGUCAAGUCCUCAUGGCCCUUACGGGUUGGGCUACACACGUGCUACAAUGGUGGUGACAAUGGGUUAAUCCCCAAAAGCCGUCUCAGUUCGGAUUGGGGUCUGCAACUCGACCCCAUGAAGUCGGAAUCGCUAGUAAUCGCGUAACAGCAUGACGCGGUGAAUACGUUCCCGGGCCUU
rnacentral:rRNA from 1 species